rnacentral:rRNA from 1 species
GACGAACGCUGGCGGCGUGCUUAACACAUGCAAGUCGAACGGAAAGGCCCUGCUUGCAGGGUACUCGAGUGGCGAACGGGUGAGUAACACGUGGGUGAUCUUCCCUGCACUUCGGGAUAAGCCUGGGAAACUGGGUCUAAUACCGGAUAGGAGCCAUUUUUAGUGUGAUGGUUGGAAAGUUUUUUCGGUGUAGGAUGAGCUCGCGGCCUAUCAGCUUGUUGGUGGGGUAAUGGCCUACCAAGGCGGCGACGGGUAGCCGGCCUGAGGGGGUGGACGGCCACAUUGGGACUGAGAUACGGCCCAGACUCCUACGGGAGGCAGCAGUGGGGAAUAUUGCACAAUGGGCGCAAGCCUGAUGCAGCGACGCCGCGUGGGGGAUGACGGCCUUCGGGUUGUAAACUCCUUUCGCUAGGGACGAAGCUUUUUGUGACGGUACCUAGAUAAGAAGCACCGGCUAACUACGUG